rnacentral:rRNA from 1 species
UACGGGGGGGGCAAGCGUUGUUCGGAAUUACUGGGCGUAAAGGGCUCGUAGGUGGUCAACUAAGUCAGACGUGAAAUCCCUCGGCUUAACCGGGGAACUGCGUCUGAUACUGGAUGGCUUGAGGUUGGGAGAGGGAUGCGGAAUUCCAGGUGUAGCGGUGAAAUGCGUAGAUAUCUGGAGGAACGCCGGUGGCGAAGGCGGCAUCCUGGACCAAUUCUGACGCUGAGUGAGCGAAAGCCAGGGGAGCAAACGGG